CCCACUGUGCUGGUUGAAGUAGAUUACUUUUGCCGGCUCUUCCAAGUAACUAAAACAUCUAGUUUCCCCAACAGAGAUCCAUCCAGUAUUUUGGUCAGUCGUGCCUCAUGGUGUAUGUGAAAAACCAGUAGUUUAAAUGGGGAACUACGUCUGCUUCUGGAAUCCUACCAAGUGGGAUCUUGGAGCAGGUUACGCCGGAGGAAGCCUGCGUCACUUGCUGUAUGUGAAAGUGAAGUGUGAGGAAGUCGCCAUCAUCAGCUGGGGCCCCUGGGGCUUCUGAACUUACCGUCUGCCUCAACAGCCUGGAGUUUCUAAACUGCACGAAAAGCCCCAGCGAGUUGCCACCCAUCGCAGAUGUUGGAGCCCCGACUGUGUCCCACACCAGGAGACAGCAAUGAAGAAGAGAUGCACCUGCCCCACGGUGCAGAGGAUUCUGCCUGUCCCAGCCUCCAGCAUGGACCCACUGAAAUGAUCUGCGUGAGGCAUCUUACCUGCGUUUUGGAAACCAGGAUAUGUGGAGAUGCAGUUCACUUAGCUUCAUGGAGCUUUGGUGCCUGCCCCCGUGCCUGCACGGGCCUUGCAUACAGUGGGGUGUCAACAACGAGGUCUGGAAAGAAGGGUGAGCAGAGCUUUGGUGGGGCGGGGGUAGGGGGAAGUUGAGGGGGCUGGAAGGAGGGGCACAUGUCCUCGGAGAAAAGAACAGGCCUCAUUCCGGUUGCUGGCCUUCCUUCCAGAGCACAAACCCAAGAGGACAGUGGUGCACAGAAGGAGCCGAUGCUGAGUGGGGGCAGGCCCCGCACUUCUUCCUGGGAUCUGAGGCCGCAGUGGCCCCAGAGCAGCUUGGACUUGUGGCCCCUGAGGGACCCUGUGUGCAGCGUGGCGUGAACAGCAUGGAUGGUAACAGCAGCUCAUCGUGUCAAGGAAGAAGCUAACAGACAGCCCUGCAAGGGGCAGUUUUUAGGGUGGUGGGGACCCACCGUGCCAGAUGCAGCUUUGAGGGUGGUGGGUACCUGCCUGUAGCCACCCCUCAGUGAGCUCUACACCUCAGCUGCACUUGCUAAGAUGAAUGAAACCCUGGGUUCAGAGCAGGGAGGGACCCGGCCCAUUGACUUCCAAACCCAGCUGCCUGUGCAUCUGUCACCAGGAACUGGGAACAGCAUUCCAGCCGCUGACUCUGGGCCCUGCCAGUCUGAAGUGGGGCCUGCCCAUCAGCAUUAGAAACGGGAGUCCCAGGCAAUUGUGAUGCAGCUGGUUCACGGACUGGGACUUGAGGAGCCAUUAAACUCAUCCAACAAUCUCAUCUCAUGUGUGGAGAAACUGAGGCUUGGAGCAGCUGAGUGAUUUUUCCAAAGCUGUGCACCCACAUACUCCCUGCCCUGUGUGUGCUCUGUCCACUGCCCCUUAAUUCCCGUGGCCAGUGCCGCUUGGGACAGCUUUGAGUCUCCACGUGCACGGCCUGGGCAUUGCAGGAGGCCAUCGAAUAGAUGAAGCUAGUGUUUAGAGGUCUUGCCCAUUUCAUGAUUUGUCUCAGGUCCCCGGUGGGUCAGGGUCAGACUCAGGGUCUGACUCCAGACGGUCUGGUUCAUCACCUGUUGAAUUCACCAGCUAGCUAAGGGACACUGGGUACCCUCAGCUGCACCCAGAGGUCCUCCGGAGAAAUCCAGAAAGCCUGUGGUCACUGGAGUGCUCAGGGAGACCUCCUCCAGUUGUUUUGCUGGCCGGGGC
rnacentral:lncRNA from 1 species